rnacentral:rRNA from 1 species
AUUAAUUCGAUGCAACGCGAAGAACCUUACCAAGGCUUGACAUAUACUGGACCGCAUCAGAGAUGGUGUUUCCCUUCGGGGCUGGUGUACAGGUGGUGCAUGGUUGUCGUCAGCUCGUGUCGUGAGAUGUUGGGUUAAGUCCCGCAACGAGCGCAACCCUCGUUCUAUGUUGCCAGCACGUUAUGGUGGGGACUCAUAGGAGACUGCCGGGGUCAACUCGGAGGAAGGUGGGGAUGACGUCAAAUCAUCAUGCCCCUUAUGUCUUGGGCUUCACGCAUGCUACAAUGGCCGGUACAGAGGGUUGCGAUACUGUGAGGUGGAGCUAAUCCCUAAAAGCUGGUCUCAGUUCGGAUUGGGGUCUGCAACUCGACCCCAUGAAGUCGGAGUCGCUAGUAAUCGCAGAUCAGCAACGCUG